UAGUAGGCAGCCUGGAGAU
rnacentral:misc_RNA from 1 species